rnacentral:rRNA from 1 species
UACGGGGGGGGCAAGCGUUGUUCGGAAUUACUGGGCGUAAAGGGCUCGUAGGCGGCCAACUAAGUCGGAUGUGAAAUCCCCAGGCUUAACCUGGGAACUGCAUCCGAUACUGGAUGGCUUGAAUCCGGGAGAGGGAUGUGGAAUUCCUGGUGUAGCGGUGAAAUGCGCAGAUAUCAGGAAGAACACCAAUGGCGAAGGCAGCUAUCUGGGACGGUACUGACGCUGAGACGCGAAAGCGUGGGGAGCGAACAGG